AGCAAUUCUGCCUCAGCCUCCCGAGUAGCUGAGACUACAGGCGCCCACUACCACACCUGGCUAAUUUUUUGUAUUUUUAGCAGAGACGGGGUUUUGCCAUGUUAGCCAGGAUGGUCUCAAUCUCCUGACUUCAUGAUCCGUCCACCUUGGCCUCCCAAAGAGAAACUAUCUUUAGGCCUGCACUGCUCAAUAAAAGUUGCAUGGGAGUAUAGUUCAGCACUGUGAUAAGGCAGUGUGCUAAGACUUCAGUUUUCAAUGUUAAAGCAAUUUCUAACAAUUUGUUACUGUUCCUCUCUAAUGUAGCAUCGAGGAAAGAUAGUCUUCAAUCUCUUAGCUUGGAUAGAUUACAAGUCAUUCCUUCCCGUGGUUGUGGACACACUUUUGACGAGACCUCUUUCUAAGGUCUAGCACAGGGACUGUGCUGCGCCAAUAACAGGCACUUAGAAAAUGCUUGUCUCAUUUGUUUUGAUGGUGCUAGUUUACUAGUCUCUGCUGACGCAAAGCCAUUCAACUGGACAGAGAUAAGCAGGGAGCCAUUCAGCAAUGACAUGAGAUCUGACACUAGCUCUCCUUUCGUAGACUGACUACGAUACCUUUCCCUUUACACAGAUGUUCAAAUUCAUUAUGGUGAUUAUUUUAAAUAACUAUUACCACAUUCAUUGAGUGCCUACUAUUGGACUUGAUGCCUUAACAGAGAGCAGUUCUUAAAUCCUAUGAGGUAGACAAAUGCUGUUAUGCCCAAACUAUGGAUGAGAAAAACAAGACCCUGGGAAAUAAGGUAACUUGCUGAGGUCCUUAAAGCUAGUAAGUGCUGGAACUAGGAUUGAACUCAGCUCUGUGUGACUCCAGAGUCCUGGCACUUAACAUUCUACCCGUACUUGAAUUUGUGGAUUAUAAAACACUUUUGUUCUCUCCCCUUGAAUCUGGGGGCGGGCCCAUGCUCACAUAAAUCACAGAAACUAGGCUAGAGGGGCAACAGCAUCCUAGUUUGCCAAAUGCACUUAGGUGAGGAUACUGAGAAUCAGGAUGGGGAAUUGAUGAUGGAGAUGUCAUGAGGCCUCCAGCAGGAACUGAAGCUCUUGGCUUGUCUUUUGCCCUCUGCUUCUCUAUUGGGAGGUCCUCUCAUUACUGUUACCAAGCUUGUUUCUGGUCUUAAAUACCUUAUUUUAAAACUAAACUUUAUAGAGACGUCAGACUUUUAAAAGAUACCCUUGGGUUGCUCUUCACCCUGUUCCUGACAACCUCCACUCUGCGCCUUCCUGCUGGUGAUUUUGGGGUGGAGUAGGGAAAACAGGCAUCACCUCUCAUGAGGAAAGGUGACCCUUUUGCUUUUGUCAUGCUCUUUAUCUUUGUCUCCUGUUUUGUAAGGACUUAACUCAUGUUGCCUUUCAGCUAAUUGUUUGGCAUAAUUAUAUUUUCUGUUGCAAUUUUUGUUCCCAGAGUCACAGAACAAACAGUCCCAUUAAACGUCAUCUCAAUGGGCUCUGCAGCUCAAUCCUUUCUUUUCCAGAUCUGGACCAAUGUGGAGGCUACUUUUGCCUUUCAGAAAAUGGACCCAGAUUCCAGUCAUUUCUCUAGGAAAUGACUUUUCCCCUGGGUUUUAUAACUCAAUUUGCCUUUCUGUAAUUUUCAUCCCAUUAUGUGUUUGCCAAGAUAAAUGAUUCUUUCUUCUCUGUAUUACCUUAUAUAUGUAAUGACUUUUCUUAUUUAUAAGGCCUCAAACUCAGAAGCCUUAGGGUCAGACACAGGAUGCAAUGAGAGAAGAGGUGUGUGAAUGCACCUUUGUAUUGUGUGAAUGGUGGGGCAAUGGUGACCUGGAGAGAACUGUUCUUUUAAAACACUGGAAGGAAAACACAUUCCACCUGCAACCCACAGUUGGCCCAUGAACCUUCCAGUUUGCACCCCCUGUUUUUCCUUCCAUGCCACGGUGCCCAACUUAGAUUACUGUUAUUGCCACAACAGCCCAAAAAUAUCCGGAUUAAUUAUUUCUCAUCACUAUGAGAUUAGAUGUAAUCUAAUUCUUGUUGUUAACAAUUCAAGAAGGGUCAUUUGCACCUUAAACACAUCUUGAAGAUAAUAUCUGAGCUGCCCAGGUAAACAGUCAUAUCAGAGGGAAUAAAUAGUUGAUAAGGACUGCCUUCCUGGUUCUAACACUUCUUGGUUCUCAACAUCGUUCUAUAUUACCCAGUGCAGAUCAGAGUCAUAAGAAAAUUUUCAACAAGCUGACUAUGUAAGUACUACAAAUUUAUUUAAAGCGAGUGCAGUAAAAGAUAAUGUUGUAUAGUGCCUGACCAGUCUUCAUCUAUAAAAUAAUUAACAAAACCCUUCAGUUGGUAGGUUUGGAUGGCCCAGUCUUUGCGUAUUCCCUCUCCUGUGUCUGCAGCUCAAAGUCACAUUACUUGCAAGGUAUUCUCUUUAAAAAUGUGUAUAGUAAUCAAACAUUUUAGAUAACGGUCUUCAGGGUUAGAGCCAACUCAUGACUCCAAUUUCUUUCUCUCUCUUCCGCCAUUCCCAUCCUCACUCUCCCCGUCCCAAUCCAAUAUCCCUCCCCUGCUGCCUUUCCCUGCCAUCCCCAACCCCCUGAAAAUAUGGUGCCUUUUCAAGAUUGAUUCUUGAAUGGGGCCUAGGCAUGGAGAGUGUUCGGUAUUGUGUUUGAGAAAGUUGCACCAGAGACAAUAAUUCAGGAAAGAAACAAGAAAAAGGAAAUUAGGAAAGAAAACUAAAAAGGGGCAGAAGCAAAGGCUGAGAGGAUCUUUUCUGUCUUCUCUCUCCUGUGCACCAAAGUCCUGCAGCAGAGGAAUCCUCUCUUCAGAUAAUCCCUACUCAGUCUCUUAUUCUUAUGAACCACAAUCAAAUUUGCAUCUUAUCUUCCUUAUUCUAUACCCUGAUCCAAAAGACUGAUCAGAGGAAAGGUCUUCACAAAAGUCCAGCAUCGAAAAGACCUAGAUCCUAAUGCCAACUCUAUUUUUUGACUUACAGAUCAUUAACCUUGGGGAAGUCACUCAGUCUCUCUGAGACUUCUUACCUACACACUGGAUUUAACAGUACAGAUCCUACCCAGCUUCUGGGGAUGAAAUGAAAUGCUGCAUGUGAAAACACACUGGAAACUAUAAAAUGCUAAUCAAAGAUGAGAGACAUCAUGAAGAUGUGAAAUCACUUUGGAGCAUACCUGCUUUAUUUUGAGAUGAGCCAUUUGAGUGGACCCUUCUGAGUGAUGUAGACAUAAGCACAACAUGACAGCCGGAGCAACAGUAGCUAUCUUAUGAAUGUGAGAAUGUGGAUCAUACUAGAUUGAUGAACUGCAAUUGCCCUAUCAGCCCAGCACUGCCUACUUCUGGAAUUCUCGUUGUGUGUGAGAAAAAUAAAUUCCUAUUUAUUUA
rnacentral:lncRNA from 1 species